rnacentral:rRNA from 1 species
UACAGAGGUCUCAAGCGUUGUUCGGAUUCAUUGGGCGUAAAGGGUGCGUAGGCGGCGCGGUAAGUCGGGUGUGAAAUCUUGGAGCUUAACUCCGAAAACUGCAUUCGAUACUGCCGUGCUUGAGGACUGGAGAGGAGACUGGAAUUUACGGUGUAGCGGUGAAAUGCGUAGAUAUCGUAAGGAAGACCAGUGGCGAAGGCGGGUCUCUGGACAGUUCCUGACGCUGAGGCACGGAAAGGCCAGGGGAGCAAAACGGG